rnacentral:rRNA from 1 species
GACGAACGCUGGCGGCGUGCUUAACACAUGCCAGUCGAACGGAAAGGCCCUGCUUUUGUGGGGUGCUCGAGUGGCGCACGGGUGUGUAACACGUGAGUAACCUGCCCUUGACUUUGGGAUAACUUCAGGAAACUGGGGCUAAUACCGGAUAGGAGCUCCUGCUGCAUGGUGGGGGUUGGAAAGUUUCGGCGGUUGGGGAUGGACUCGCGGCUUAUCAGCUUGUUGGUGGGGUAGUGGCUUACCAAGGCUUUGACGGGUAGCCGGCCUGAGAGGGUGACCGGCCACAUUGGGACUGAGAUACGGCCCAGACUCCUACGGGAGGCAGCAGUGGGGAAUAUUGCACAAUGGGCGGAAGCCUGAUGCAGCAACGCCGCGUGCGGGAUGACGGCCUUCGGGUUGUAAACCGCUUUCGCCUGUGACGAAGCGUGAGUGACGGUAAUGGGUAAAGAAGCACCGGCUAACUACGUG